UUGACCAACAUCAGACUUUCAUCUCUUCUGACCAUUGAUAACUACCUGUCUGUCAGUCUGUCUGUCAGUUUGCCAGCCAGUGCAGUCCUACAAGCCAACUGAAUGUGAAACCAAACUGAGUGGUUUUGAACUAUAGCUUGAUGAACAAGCCAGUGAAUGCCUGACUGUCAGCCAGUACAUGUGGUAAAUUCCGCCUUGUUCUGGCAACAAUGUUAAUGGUUACCUUGACGAUGGGAAGUACACACCCCUUGACGACGGCACAACCACCAAGGCAGACAGCUUGAGUACGUCAUGUAUGACAUCGUGUACAGAAUUGAAGGGGAUGAGAGCACAACAGAGGCCGCAUCCAGACUUGCAUGGAGGCUUGCUUUGUUAAUCAACCAUCACAUCCAGUCUGGUCACCAUGGCAGCUGAACAGCCUCAGGCCCCGCCUCCAGCAGCCAUUGGUCAAGAUAGCCGCUUACCAAUUCCAAUCAGCAAUGAGCGUAGUUGAGGGCAACGCAAGACACCUGUCAGCUUUGUUGUUGUACCGGUCAGUGAUCUGGGUGACCCUGUUGGUUCACCAGGGAGUAGCAUCUGGGCUUAUACACCAGGGAGCAGCGGUGACUGGAUCCCAAGUAGCAACUUAGAGGACAUACCAGGCACAGCAGCUAACAGGAUGCCUAACUUCCCCCAUCAAGACACUGUCAAGAGAGGAUGGCUUCCAAAUGAACAAACACCUGUCAGCCGGUUUGGUGAGCAACAUGAGCCAAUGUCUGGUAUGCAUCAUAACAUGGCCUUUGGAGAUGGGGAGGGGUGACAGCUCAUGGAAUGGCAGGAAUGGUCUGGAACCUUGUAGCCACCAUGCAACUUCCUGGCACCAAUCCAAAGAGACACCAAAUCCUGUCACACAAGGCCAAUGGAUGGUUGGUGCAUUUUCACUGAGUUUGAAUGUGAUAGGAUUCUUAGGAAUCUAGUGCCAGAGAUGAAGCGGAAGCAACAAUGAAGCCAGGGUUUCAUAAGCACCACAAAAAGUUGAAUUGAAUAGAUGUCAGUUGAGCAACAUCAGACGUUCAUCUUUUCUGACCAUUGAUGACUACCUGUCUGUCAGUCUGUCAGUCAGUUGGCCAGCCAGUGCAGUCCUACAAGCCAACUGAAUGUGAAACCCAACUGAGUGGUUUGGAACUAUAGCCUGAUGAACAAGCCAGUCAAUGCCUGACUGUCAGCCAGUACAUGUGAUAAAUUCCGCCCUGUUCUGGCAACAACGGUAUGGUUACCCUGACGAUGGGGAGUACACACCCCUUGACGACAGCACAACCACUAUGACAGACAGCUUGAGUACGUCAUGUAUGGCAUUGUGUACAGAAUUGAAGGGGAUGAGAGCAUGACAGAGGCCGCAUCCAGACUUUCAUGGAGGCUCACUUUGUUGAUCAACCAUCACGUCCAGUCUGGUCACCAUGGCAACUGAACAGCCCCGGCCCGGCCUCCAGCAGCCAUUGGUCAAGAUCGUCGCUUACCAAUUCCAAUCAGCAAUGAGCAUAGUCGAGGGCAACGCAAGACACCUGUCAGCUUUGUUGUUGUACCUGUCAGUGAUCUGGGUUACCCUGUUGGUUCACCAGGGAGUAGCAUCUGGGCUUAUACACCAGACACCUGUCAGCCAG